rnacentral:rRNA from 1 species
UACAGAGGUCUCAAGCGUUGUUCGGAUUCAUUGGGCGUAAAGGGUGCGUAGGCGGCGCGGUAAGUCGGGUGUGAAAUCUCGGAGCUUAACUCCGAAACUGCAUUCGAUACUGCCGUGCUUGAGGACUGGAGAGGAGACUGGAAUUUACGGUGUAGCGGUGAAAUGCGUAGAUAUCGUAAGGAAGACCAGUGGCGAAGGCGGGUCUCUGGACAGUCCUGACGCUGAGGCACGAAGUCAGGGAGCAAACGGG